rnacentral:rRNA from 1 species
AACUUACAUCUAUAAACGCCAGGGAAUUACGAGCUACGCUUAAAACCCAAAGGAUUUGACGGUGUCCCACCCACCUAGAGGAGCCUGUUCUAUAAUCGAUAAUACCCGCUAUACCCAACCACCUCUUGCUAUUCAGUCUGUAUACCUCCGUCGAAAGCUUACCAUGUGAACGCCUACAGUGAGUACAAUUACCCCCAACGUCAACACGUCAGGUCAAGGUGCAGCUUAAGGGGUGGAAAGAAAUGGGCUACAAUUUCUAAUCUAGAACAAACGAAAGACUAUGUGAAAUCAUGGUACUGAAGGCGGAUUUAGCAGUAAAAAGAAAAUAUAGCGUUCUUUUUAACCUGGCUCUGGGACGCGUACACACCGCCCGUCAC